AAACAUCACGCGGGUGAAGCUGCGGGCAAAAGCUAGUAAACUAAUAACCACAAGUCAAUUGUGAAUUUCAACUUCAAUACGUUCCACAUUCGUUUAAUAAUAAAAUCUAAACAGCACCUACUGUAUACCAAGGCGCAUCUAUACAAGGUGGUGUUACUUGAACAGCUGAUUGGAUAUUUUUGUCUCUGCACAAGUACAGCAGAAUGUCAUCCAAGACGAAAUGGCGCAACUUUAGGAUGGCAACAAAACGAAAUGGCUAAAAAUUAUCUCCUAUUCCCUUUCGUUUUGACAUCCUCCUGUACCAAAAAGCAAUAACAAAAUCACGGGAGUUUUACUUAUAUCCAAUUGCUACCACCUUAUAUGGAUGCGCCUUGCUGUAUACUGACUAAUCAACAAUCGUUCCGCUGUUGUCUGUGCAUCACCUAAAGAAGUUUGUUAGUACAAGUAGUUGGAACAAGUUAACAGACACUUGUUGAGUUAAGUUGUAUACUAGAAUACUUUUAUUCUUCCUCUUUAAUUUUAUAAGCGAGAAUAACAAGUUGAGUGCAGAAAUUCAGUGACAAUUAUAAAAAGGUUGAAAGUGAAAAAAAAGUUCUUCAUAUGUGACUAAAAGAAGUACUAUUAAACAAAAAUAUUGAAGUGAAUUCCAGUUGUUUUGGUUGUACUAAAUCAACUAGCACGGCAGUAGCAAGCAACAGCACCGAAAAUAAUAGCUAAGUAACUAGAUAACGCAAGUGUAGCAGCCGGAAAGGCACCAAUUAACCAAACCACCAACUGUGCAACCAACCGUAUAUUUAAUAACAAAAAGAAUAACAAACAAACAAACAAAAACAAUAAUAAAGUGUCAUGUUGUAUCACUAAUGAAAAACUGCCAACAAUUUGAAAGUGCGAAAAAACAUUGCGAAAAGAAUAGACAAAAAAAAAAUUGC